UCUCAUUUUUUUCUCUUGAACAAUUUAUUUAUUCAUUUUUUCAUUUUCUUUUGCUUUAGAGGUGUAAGGAACAAACAGACAGAGAGGAUGACUACAUUUACGGAAAAGGAAGAGAAAA
rnacentral:ribozyme from 15 species